AGAACUUGUUCCUCUGUUCUAAUCAGUGUGAAAACUGAUUACCAUAUUUAAUAUGGGUAUUUUUUUCACAUUCAUUUUUAUAGAUUCCGGGGGUUCAGGCGGCUUGCCACUGACCUCGGGACAGGUUUCCGAGGGCCCAGCACUCCUCCCUUGUGAAGCCUAACACAU
rnacentral:snRNA from 1 species